UACGGAGGGUGCGAGCGUUGUUCGGAAUUAUUGGGCGUAAAGCGCGCGUAGGCGGCCGUUUAAGUCUUUUGGUGAAAGGCCGGGGCUCAACCCCGUGCUUGCCGGGGAUACUGGACGGCUGGAGACAGGUAGAGGCGAGUGGAAUUCCGGGUGUAGCGGUGGAAUGCGUAGAGAUCCGGAAGAACACCAGAGGCGAAGGCGGCUCGCUGGACCUGAUCUGACGCUGAGGUGCGAAAGCGUGGGGAGCGAACAGG
rnacentral:misc_RNA from 1 species